rnacentral:rRNA from 1 species
GACGAACGCUGGCGGCGUGCUUAACACAUGCAAGUCGAACGAAGAGCGAUGGAAGCUUGCUUCUAUCAAUCUUAGUGGCGAACGGGUGAGUAACGCGUAAUCAACCUGCCCUUCAGAGGGGGACAACAGUUGGAAACGACUGCUAAUACCGCAUACGAUCUGACCUCGGCAUCGAGGAUAGAUGAAAGGUGGCCUCUAUUUAUAAGCUAUCACUGAAGGAGGGGAUUGCGUCUGAUUAGCUAGUUGGAGGGGUAACGGCCCACCAAGGCGAUGAUCAGUAGCCGGUCUGAGAGGAUGAACGGCCACAUUGGGACUGAGACACGGCCCAGACUCCUACGGGAGGAAGCAGUGGGGAAUCUUCCGCAAUGGACGAAAGUCUGACGGAGCAACGCCGCGUGAGUGAUGACGGCCUUCGGGUUGUAAAGCUCUGUUAAUCGGGACGAAAGGCCUUCUUGCGAAUAGUUAGAAGGAUUGACGGUACCGGAAUAGAAAGCCACGGCUAACUACGUGCCAGCCGCCGCAGUAACAC